UACGGAGGGGGCAAGCGUUGUUCGGAAUUAUUGGGCGUAAAGGGCGCGUAGGCGGCCGGCCAAGUCGGAUGUGAAAUCCCAGGGCUCAACCCUGGAACUGCAUUCGAUACUGCCUGGCUAGGGUACUGGAGAGGAGACUGGAAUUUACGGUGUAGCAGUGAAAUGCGUAGAUAUCGUAAGGAAGACCAGUGGCGAAGGCGAGUCUCUGGGCCGAUACUGACGCUGAGGAGCGAAAGCGUGGGGAGCGAACAGG
rnacentral:rRNA from 1 species